GACGUAGGGCGCGAGCGUUGUCCGGAUUUAUUGGGCGUAAAGAGCUCGUAGGCGGCUUGUCGCGUCGACUGUGAAAUCCCGCGGCUCAACUGCGGGUCUGCAGUCGAUACGGGCAGGCUAGAGUUCGGUAGGGGAGACUGGAAUUCCUGGCGUAGCGGUGAAAUGCGCAGAUAUCAGGAGGAACACCGGUGGCGAAGGCGGGUCUCUGGGCCGAUACUGACGCUGAGGAGCGAAAGCGUGGGGAGCGAACAGG
rnacentral:rRNA from 1 species